GUGGAAUGCACCCUCCAACACCCCAGAGAAACAAAGAAACAUAGACUACAAUUUCACUUUCAGAAGGACAAGACCCAAACUGCAGGGGACUAGAGAAGCCAAGAUUCCAGUGCCUUCCAGAACCCAGACACCCAGCCCCAACUCAACUUAAAAAAUACUGUAAACGUGGGGCUGGCCCCGUGGCCGAGUGGUUAAGUUCGCGCGCUCCGCUGCAGGCGGCCCAGUGUUUCGUUAGUUCGAAUCCUGGGCGCGGACAUGGCACUGCUCAUCGGACCACACUGAGGCAGCGUCCCACAUGCCACAACUAGAAGAACCCACAACGAAGAAUACACAACUAUGUACCGGGGGGCUUUGGGGAGAAAAAGGAAAAAAUAAAAUCUUUAAAAAAAAAAAAAAUAC
rnacentral:lncRNA from 1 species